UGGUUCAUUCCAGAGAGUGAAGGUUUCUGGAACUGUAUAUAUAAUUUUUCUAAUUAGUUUAGAAACGAUUUAGAUAUGACUUAAAAAUAAGCUUAGAACAAAUUUAUAUACAACUUAUAAAUUAUUUUUAUAAACAGAAAAGGUUGAUAGUUUUAGCAGGUUCAAUAGUUGGUCUUUCGAUAGCUGAAUAUCUAAAUCUAGUUGGAUCUCUGUAAGCGUUUCUUAGAUCAGUAACUGCUGGUUUGAUAGGAGCACCGAUAGGAGAAUCAACAGCUGCCAUAAGUGUUCUAUAAUGAGCUAUAGUUUCACAGGUACUGUUCAACAAAGUCGUCGUGAGAUUUGCCAUUUCAUGAUUAACAGCUAUCAAUUCAUCUUGAAGUCUUCGUUCUUUAUUGGCCAGCUGAACGUAUCUUGAGAGAUUUAGAAAAAAGAAAAAUCAAGUUAGACGUGUCUAUGAAGAUAUAAUCGGAUACCGGUAUCCAUAGGAGGUUGUGCAGGUUUAGUAAGAAGUGGUUUAGGAUUAGGCCAUAUGAAAUCUUUUUGAGUAAUCGUUGUAAAAGUAUCCAUGAUGAUAUUUGCCAUAUUUCAUA